GACGAACGCUGGCGGCGUGCUUAACACAUGCAAGUCGAACGGAAAGGCCCUGCUUUUGUGGGGUGCUCGAGUGGCGAACGGGUGAGUAACACGUGAGUAACCUGCCCUUGACUUUGGGAUAACUUCAGGAAACUGGGGCUAAUACCGGAUAGGAGCUCCUGCUGCAUGGUGGGGGUUGGAACGUUUCGGCGGUCGGGGAUGGACUCGCGGCUUAUCAGCUUGUUGGUGGGGUAGUGGCUUACCAAGGCUUUGACGGGUAGCCGGCCUGAGAGGGUGACCGGCCACAUUGGGACUGAGAUACGGCCCAGACUCCUACGGGAGGCAGCAGUGGGGAAUAUUGCACAAUGGGCGGAAGCCUGAUGCAGCAACGCCGCGUGCGGGAUGACGGCCUUCGGGUUGUAAACCGCUUUCGCCUGUGACGAAGCGUGAGUGACGGUAAUGGGUAAAGAAGCACCGGCUAACUACGUG
rnacentral:rRNA from 1 species